AAUACAAGACAAGAACAGACAGACAGAUCCGGUAUUAAUGAUUAUGAGAAUUACGAUUUUUGCUUUAUCCUACAUAUCGGUCUUUUAAUGUUUUGAAUUUCCCUAAAACUUUAAAGUCUUAAAUAACAAUGAAUCUAUGUUUUUGCUUUGAGACCAGAAUAUUGUCGAAAAAAUAGCUAAAAAUGAUUUGCGUUUCUAUGUAAGAAAGAGUCCGGGAAACGCUCAGAAUGCACGAUUUUGCGUUAUUUU
rnacentral:lncRNA from 1 species